GCGACCGUCGUUCAACGGUAGGACUCCGGCUUCCCAAGCCGGCAAUCCGGGUUCGAAGCCCUGCGGAAAUCCCGGCGGUCGCA
rnacentral:tRNA from 1 species